rnacentral:rRNA from 1 species
UAAGUGAUGGCGACCGGCGCACGGGUGAGUAACACGUAUCCAACCUGCCGAUAACUCGGGGAUAGCCUUUCGAAAGAAAGAUUAAUACCCGAUGGCAUAAUAGAACCGCAUGGUUUGAUUAUUAAAGAAUUUCGGUUAUCGAUGGGGAUGCGUUCCAUUAGGCAGUUGGUGGGGUAACGGCCCACCAAACCUUCGAUGGAUAGGGGUUCUGAGAGGAAGGUCCCCCACAUUGGAACUGAGACACGGUCCAA